UCCUGGCUCAGGAUGAACGCUAGCGGCAGGCCUAAUACAUGCAAGUCGAGGGCAGCGCGGUAGCAAUACUGGCGGCGACCGGCGCACGGGUGCGUAACACGUAUGCAACCUACCUUCAACUGGAGGAUAGCCCGGGGAAACUCGGAUUAAUACUCCAUAACACAGGGAUCCCGCAUGGGAAUAUUGUUAAAGCUACGGCGGUUGAAGAUGGGCAUGCGUUCGAUUAGCUAGUUGGUGUAGGUAACGGCUCACCAAGGCUACGAUCGAUAGGGGGUCUGAGAGGAUGAUCCCCCACACUGGUACUGAGAUACGGACCAGACUCCUACGGGAGGCAGCAGUAGGGAAUAUUGGUCAAUGGGCGCAAGCCUGAACCAGCCAUGCCGCGUGCAGGAAGAAGGCCCUCUGGGUUGUAAACUGCUUUUGAUAGGGAACAAAUGCCACUUGCGAGUGGAGCUGAGUGUACCUAUAGAAUAAGCACCGGCUAACUCCGUG
rnacentral:rRNA from 1 species